GUGAAUCAUCAAAUUUUUGAACGCAAAUUGCACUCUCCUCGAAGAGUAGGGCUGUUUGAGGUUGAGCGUAUAAAAAAUCGACAUCGUUGCUGUUUCGCGGUGGUGUUCGUCGGAAAUUGGGACAUCUUAAAUCCUUUUGGUGUUAAACGUCCUAAAAUUUGCUGUUUGGUUCCAUGAACG
rnacentral:misc_RNA from 1 species